rnacentral:rRNA from 1 species
AGAGGGUGCGAGCGUUAAUCGGAUUUACUGGGCGUAAAGCGUACGUAGGCGGCUUUUUAAGUCGGAUGUGAAAUCCCUGAGCUUAACUUAGGAAUUGCAUUCGAUACUGGGAAGCUAGAGUAUGGGAGAGGAUGGUAGAAUUCCAGGUGUAGCGGUGAAAUGCGUAGAGAUCUGGAGGAAUACCGAUGGCGAAGGCAGCCAUCUGGCCUAAUACUGACGCUGAGGUACGAAAGCAUGGGGAGCAAAC